rnacentral:rRNA from 1 species
CAAUAGCGUAUAUUAAAGUUGUUGCAGUUAAAAAGCUCGUAGUUGGAUUUGUGGUGUGUCCAGUCGGCCUUUGCUCUUUGAGUGAUUGUGCUGUUACUGGUCUGCCAUGUUUGGGUGGAAUCUGUGUGGCAUUAAGUUGUCGUGCAGGGGAUGCCCAUCGUUUACUGUGAAAAAUUAGAGUGUUCAAAGCAGGCUUAUGCCUCUGAAUAUAUUAGCAUGGAAUAAUGAUAUAGGACCUUGGUACUAUUUUGUUGGUUUGAGGGACUGCAGUAAUGAUUAAUAGGGAUAGUUGGGGGCAUUAGUAUUUAAUUGUCAGAGGUGGAAUUCUCAGAUUUGUUAAAGACUAACUUAUGCGAAAGCAUUUGCCAAGGAUGUUUUCAUUAAUCAAGAACGAAAGUUAGGGGAUCAAAGAUGAUUAGAUACCAU